CAGGCUUAACACAUGCAAGUCGAGGGUUAGCAUGGUCUUAGCUUGCUAAGGCCGAUGGCGACCGGCGCACGGGUGAGUAACACGUAUCCAACCUGCCGUCUACUCUUGGACAGCCUUCUGAAAGGAAGAUUAAUACAAGAUGGCAUCAUGAGUCCGCAUGUUCACAUGAUUAAAGGUAUUCCGGUAGACGAUGGGGAUGCGUUCCAUUAGAUAGUAGGCGGGGUAACGGCCCACCUAGUCUUCGAUGGAUAGGGGUUCUGAGAGGAAGGUCCCCCACAUUGGAACUGAGACACGGUCCAAACUCCUACGGGAGGCAGCAGUGAGGAAUAUUGGUCAAUGGGCGAGAGCCUGAACCAGCCAAGUAGCGUGAAGGAUGACUGCCCUAUGGGUUGUAAACUUCUUUUAUAAAGGAAUAAAGUCGGGUAUGGAUACCCGUUUGCAUGUACUUUAUGAAUAAGGAUCGGCUAACUCCGUGCCAGCAGCCGCGGUAAUACGGAGGAUCCGAGCGUUAUCCGGAUUUAUUGGGUUUAAAGGGAGCGUAGAUGGAUGUUUAAGUCAGUUGUGAAAGUUUGCGGCUCAACCGUAAAAUUGCAGUUGAUACUGGAUAUCUUGAGUGCUGUUGAGGCAGGCGGAAUUCGUGGUGUAGCGGUGAAAUGCUUAGAUAUCACGAAGAACUCCGAUUGCGAAGGCAGCCUGCUAAGCUGCAACUGACAUUGAGGCUCGAAAGUGUGGGUAUCAAACAGGAUUAGAUACCCUGGUAGUCCACACGGUAAACGAUGAAUACUCGCUGUUUGCGAUAUACUGCAAGCGGCCAAGCGAAAGCGUUAAGUAUUCCACCUGGGGAGUACGCCGGCAACGGUGAAACUCAAAGGAAUUGACGGGGGCCCGCACAAGCGGAGGAACAUGUGGUUUAAUUCGAUGAUACGCGAGGAACCUUACCCGGGCUUAAAUUGCAGAUGAAUUACGGUGAAAGCCGUAAGCCGCAAGGCAUCUGUGAAGGUGCUGCAUGGUUGUCGUCAGCUCGUGCCGUGAGGUGUCGGCUUAAGUGCCAUAACGAGCGCAACCCUUGUUGUCAGUUACUAACAGGUUCCGCUGAGGACUCUGACAAGACUGCCAUCGUAAGAUGUGAGGAAGGUGGGGAUGACGUCAAAUCAGCACGGCCCUUACGUCCGGGGCUACACACGUGUUACAAUGGGGGGUACAGAGGGCCGCUACCACGCGAGUGGAUGCCAAUCCCCAAAACCUCUCUCAGUUCGGACUGGAGUCUGCAACCCGACUCCACGAAGCUGGAUUCGCUAGUAAUCGCGCAUCAGCCACGGCGCGGUGAAUACGUUCCCGGGCCUUGUACACACCGCCCGUCAAGCCAUGGGAGCCGGGGGUACCUGAAGUGCGUAACCGCGAGGAGCGCCCUAGGGUAAAACUGGUGAAUG
rnacentral:rRNA from 1 species